CAGAAACAAACCAGCAGUGGACACUCAACCUGCCAGUCAGGAGGAGACCCACCAUCCCAUCAUUUAGUGACUAACAUUUAGUGAAGAAUUUCAUUCAGUAAAAAUCCACAUAUAACCCUUAAAAUCCUUGUUUUUGAUUUCACUGUAUGAUGUUCAUUAGCAGGUAUUUGUAGGCUUUUAUCAGAUAAACUCCAUAUCAGUAAUGUAUGGCUCUUUUUCUGCUGUUGACAUCAUAUCAUAACAAAAUGUUCAAUUCUCAUUACAGUGUCUAUUACUGGUUUGAAGGUAAAACCAAGUUCUUUGGGAAUCUGUUCUGUGCAGCAGCAGAGAGAGAAAAGCAGACAGGAGAGAAGAUACUGGAGUUGUUAUCAUCAGUGUGCAGAUAUGAAACAUUCCCUUUUAAUGACAUGGAUGAAUAUGAUGAUGAUGAUGAGAGGGAAUAUCAGUGUGAUUUCCUGCUGGAUCUUUACUCCCACCUGAAGGACUAUGAGACUAAAACAGGCUUGAGUGUCCUUCCAUCAUCACAGUCAGUUCUCCAGUCAGCUCCUGCAGUCUGGUUCAUAAACCUCUCAGAGAGAAAGACCUCCAUCCUCCUGGAAGUGCUGAAACUCCAAUCAGAGAAGAAACAAGUGAAGCUGACAGGCUGCUCACAUGAAGAGAGUGAAGUGAGGAGUUUCCUACAGUGUCUGCCUUAUAUCUCACAGCUCAGUUUUGUCCGGCAGUGGUCAGAUCCUAACGAAGAAACCAAGUUCUUGGCGAAUCUGUUCUGUGCAGCAACAGAGAGAGAACAGCAGACAGGAGAGAAUAUACUGGAGCUGUUAUCAUCAGUGUGCAGAUAUAAAACAUGCACUUUUAAAUACAUGGAUGGUUAUGAGCAGUAUCAGUGUGAUUUCCUGUUGGAUCUUUGCUCCCAUGUGAAAGACUAUGAGACUAAAACAGGGUUGAGUGUCCUUCCAUCAUUACAGUCAGUUCUCCAGUCAGUUUCUGCAGUCUGGUCCAUAAACCUCUCAGAGAGAAAGACCUCCAUCCUCCUGGAAGUGCUGAAACUCCAAUCAGAGAAGAAACAAGUGAAGCUGACAGGCUGCUCACAUGAAGAGAGUGAAGUGAGGAGUUUCCUACAGUGUCUGCCUUAUAUCUCACAUCUCAGUUUUGUUCCUCAGUCGUCAGAUCGUUAUGAAGAAACCAAGUUCUUUGGGAAUCUGUUCUGUGCAACAGCAGAGAGAGAACAGCAGACAGGAGAGAAGAUACUGGAGCUGUUAUCAUCAGUGUGCAGAUAUAAAACAUUCCCUCUUAAAAGAGAAAUGGUGUGAUUUCCUCAUGGACCUUUACUCUUAUGGUUGUGAAACAGGGUUGAGUGUCCUUCCAUCAUUACAGUCAGUUCUCCAGUCAGCUCCUGCAGUCUGGUCCAUAAACCUCUCAGAGAGAAAGACCUCCAUCCUCCUGGAAGUGCUGAAACUCCAAUCAGAGAAGAAACAAGUGAAGCUGACAGACUGCUCACAUGAAGAGAGUGAAGUGAGGAGUUUCCUACAGUGUCUGCCUUAUAUCUCACAGCUCAGGUAAGUCUGAUAAUAUUGAAAGGAAGUUUGUCAAAACAUUAUUUGACUAUAAUUUAAAAUUGA
rnacentral:lncRNA from 15 species